CUAUUCUACAGGCUUAACACAUGCAAGUCGAGGGGCAUCAGGAAGAAAGCUUGCUUUCUUUGCUGGCGACCGGCGCACGGGUGAGUAACACGUAUCCAACCUGCCCUUUACUCGGGGAUAGCCUUUCGAAAGAAAGAUUAAUACCCGAUGGCAUAAUGAUUCCGCAUGGUUUCAUUAUUAAAGGAUUCCGGUAAAGGAUGGGGAUGCGUUCCAUUAGGUUGUUGGUGAGGUAACGGCUCACCAAGCCUUCGAUGGAUAGGGGUUCUGAGAGGAAGGUCCCCCACAUUGGAACUGAGACACGGUCCAAACUCCUACGGGAGGCAGCAGUGAGGAAUAUUGGUCAAUGGGCGCUAGCCUGAACCAGCCAAGUAGCGUGAAGGAUGAAGGCUCUAUGGGUCGUAAACUUCUUUUAUAUAAGAAUAAAGUGCAGUAUGUAUACUGUUUUGUAUGUAUUAUAUGAAUAAGGAUCGGCUAACUCCGUGCCAGCAGCCGCGGUAAUACGGAGGAUCCGAGCGUUAUCCGGAUUUAUUGGGUUUAAAGGGAGCGUAGGUGGACUGGUAAGUCAGUUGUGAAAGUUUGCGGCUCAACCGUAAAAUUGCAGUUGAUACUGUCAGUCUUGAGUACAGUAGAGGUGGGCGGAAUUCGUGGUGUAGCGGUGAAAUGCUUAGAUAUCACGAAGAACUCCGAUUGCGAAGGCAGCUCACUGGACUGCAACUGACACUGAUGCUCGAAAGUGUGGGUAUCAAACAGGAUUAGAUACCCUGGUAGUCCACACAGUAAACGAUGAAUACUCGCUGUUUGCGAUAUACAGUAAGCGGCCAAGCGAAAGCAUUAAGUAUUCCACCUGGGGAGUACGCCGGCAACGGUGAAACUCAAAGGAAUUGACGGGGGCCCGCACAAGCGGAGGAACAUGUGGUUUAAUUCGAUGAUACGCGAGGAACCUUACCCGGGCUUAAAUUGCAGUGGAAUGAUGUGGAAACAUGUCAGUGAGCAAUCACCGCUGUGAAGGUGCUGCAUGGUUGUCGUCAGCUCGUGCCGUGAGGUGUCGGCUUAAGUGCCAUAACGAGCGCAACCCUUAUCUUUAGUUACUAACAGGUUAUGCUGAGGACUCUAGAGAGACUGCCGUCGUAAGAUGUGAGGAAGGUGGGGAUGACGUCAAAUCAGCACGGCCCUUACGUCCGGGGCUACACACGUGUUACAAUGGGGGGUACAGAAGGCAGCUAGCGGGUGACCGUAUGCUAAUCCCAAAAGCCUCUCUCAGUUCGGAUCGAAGUCUGCAACCCGACUUCGUGAAGCUGGAUUCGCUAGUAAUCGCGCAUCAGCCACGGCGCGGUGAAUACGUUCCCGGGCCUUGUACACACCGCCCGUCAAGCCAUGGGAGCCGGGGGUACCUGAAGUACGUAACCGCAAGGAUCGUCCUAGGGUAAAACUGGUGACUGG
rnacentral:rRNA from 1 species